GUCACUGAAACACCGGUUCUCGUUACGAUCACCGAAGUUAAGCAAGGUCGACCUUGGUCAGUACCUAAAUGGGUGACAGCGUGAGAAUGCCAGGU